rnacentral:rRNA from 1 species
CCUACGGGAGGCAGCAGUGAGGAAUAUUGGUCAAUGGACGAGAGUCUGAACCAGCCAAGUAGCGUGAAGGAUGACUGCCCUCUGUGUUGUAAACUUCUUUUAUAUGGGAAUAAAACGUUCCACGUGUGGGAUUUUGUAUGUACCAUAUGAAUAAGGAUCGGCUAACUCAGUGCCAGCAGCCGCGGUAAUACGGAGGAUCCGAGCGUUAUCCGGAUUUAUUGGGUUUAAAGGGAGCGUAGGUGGAUAGUUAAGUCAGUUGUGAAAGUUUGCGGCUCAACCGUAAAAUUGCAGUUGAAACUGGCAGUCUUGAGUACAGUAGAGGUGGGCGGAAUUCGUGGUGUAGCGGUGAAAUGCUUAGAUAUUACGAAGAACUCCGAUUGCGAAGGCAGUUCACUGGACUGCAACUGACACUGAGGCUCGAAAGUGUGGGUAUCAAACAGGAUUAGAUACCCCAGUAGUC